rnacentral:rRNA from 1 species
GAUGAACGCUAGCGGCAGGCUUAACACAUGCAAGUCGAGGGGUAUAGGUUUUCGGACCUAGAGACCGGCGCACGGGUGCGUAACGCGUAUGCAAUCUACCUUUCACAGAGGGAUAGCCCAGAGAAAUUUGGAUUAAUACCUCAUAGUAUAGCAGUUUCGCAUGAAACCACUAUUAAAGUUCCAACGGUGAAAGAUGAGCAUGCGUCCCAUUAGCUAGAUGGUAAGGUAACGGCUUACCAUGGCUACGAUGGGUAGGGGUCCUGAGAGGGAGAUCCCCCACACUGGUACGGAGACACGGACCAGACUCCUACGGGAGGCAGCAGUGAGGAAUAUUGGUCAAUGGACGCAAGUCUGAACCAGCCAUGCCGCGUGCAGGAUGACGGUCCUAUGGAUUGUAAACUGCUUUUGUACGAGAAGAAACAACAUUACGUGUAAUGUCUUGACGGUAUCGUAAGAAUAAGGAUCGGCUAACUCCGUGCCAGCCGCCGCGGUAAUAC